UCCCUGAAAGAUGAUCAGGUUGAUAGGUCUGAGGUGGAAGUGUGGCGACACAUGGAGCUGACAGAUACUAAUCGAUCGAGGACUUAACCAA
rnacentral:rRNA from 1 species